rnacentral:misc_RNA from 1 species
CAGCACCGACCUGCCCGCUUACACCGGCCCAUUCAUACACAAAUCCAUCAAGGGAUUCAGGCAAGUGCACAGGUGUGGUCUCUUGGUGGCGGUAUUACAACCAUAGCAGCAGCAGAGAAAGAAACUCUUCCUCGACCUCUUUUACUCAUCCACACACGCGCACACCAUUACUGGAAUGCUGAAUGCCGCCCUGCGUACCAAGCGCAAUGGCGCCGCACCGCCGGCCCCGGCUCCGGCGGAGAGCGAGUUCCACCAGAUGCGCAUGCAGGAGCAACUGCGCAACCACGCCAUAAAGGACUUCGACGCCACCGAGCAGCAAGUAUCGCCGUCCUACUUCGUCGCUUCCCUGCGAGAGCUGUGCGCGCAGCGUUUGGCGGACAGCUUUGCUGAGUGUGCGGAGGUGGAUGCGCUGCGGGAGGAGCAGCCAGAUCUCUACGCCAUGGUGUUGGAGCGGCUGCCGACGCAGCCAGACACAAUGCUGCCACUGCGCAUCACUGUCCCGCGGAUUAUUGAUGAGAAGUACUGGCAGCGCUGCUGCAAGGCUCGAUGGCCGCUGGGGCAGCUGUCCCGCAUGGCGAAGGGACAGAGGCUGCUUGAGAAGGAGUACGGGUGGAAGCGCUUGUUCCUUGAGCAGGUCCUUAGCGACUUUCUCAUGGCUCUUGGCAGCGGCAGCAAUGCGGGGGACGGCAACGGCAGUCUGCUGCCUCCCGGUGUCAUGACGGUGGUAACCGGCGAGGCCCUUGCUGUCUCGCAGAAGGGCAUUACGUCGCUGGCGUCUGCUGCCGCAACGUGCACUCCCCGAGACGCCGACACCAGUCUCUUCGACUUGAGCCUUGACGACGAGGCCAUCGCUGCGCUGCGUGAGCUGUGCGCCAUCUGCCGCGACUACGUCCACACAGUCGAUUUGCCCUGCCAACUGGUGCACUUCCGCCCCUAUGAGCAUCUUUUUGCACACGUGCCUGGCAUCCUUUCCUUUCGUCUCACCUUCGGGGUGGCGAACCGCGGCGUUCGUGUCAGUGUGACGGACAUGAUCGGCUUUCGCGACGAGGACGCGCAACUGAUACAACAACUGCUACGGCACUACGCCGCUCUAGAGUCCCUGCGGCUCCCGCUGAACCGGCUGGAAAACCGUCAUGUGCAGAUGAUCGCAGCAGGUUUAGAAAGCUCGACCACGCUGCGCGUCCUCGACUUCUCGCAGAACUCGCUGACAGACGCCGCCGUUGUGGAGGCGGUAUCGCUGCUGCUCUGCCGGCCCGACUUCCCGCUGGAGGAGCUGUACCUCGCUGACAACCAACUGGCGGACAAGGCGGCGGCCGCCUUGGCCGAGGCCCUGCGGUUCAAUAAGACACUACACGUCCUGCACCUGCAGCAGAAUUGCAUUGGCGAUGCCGCCGGUGGGGCUCUGCUGGUGCGCUCGCUGGCGGUGCACCCAACGCUAGCGGACGUGAACCUCGGCAGCAACCGUUUCGGGACGAGCACCGCGGAGGCGCUGUCGGAGGUGCUCCCUCAACUCACACAGCUGCGCAUGCUUUGCCUCUCUGGCAACUCGCAGCUUGCUGGUGAAGAGGUGUCCUCGCUCCCCUUCCCCUCUGAAGGCGCCGCCGCAGCGGCGCCUGUGGCCCCGACCGGCUCCACCACCUCUAUCCCUUCGGUGUACUCCACCAGCCUCUUGGCGGUGUCUGCCAAAGACAGUGAUGCCGAGGCCGCAGAGAUCGGUACUGCAGACAGCCAAAAGGCGGACGAAGAAGGGGAUGAGGAUGAGGCGGACGCAUCCCUCACCCAUGCGGAGACAGCGGAGGGAGAGUCCUACAGAUUCACCACCACGGCGCGGCCUUCUGUGGCGACGGUGGCCGGCGAGGAUGUGUCAACGCUGCAGCACAGAGGCCCUCGUGCGUCGAGGAAACAGAAGGACACGUCCCAGCUUCUGCCCACUGCCGCGCCACCGCCGCCGCUGGCGCAGACGGCUGGUGGCAGGCUCAUUGCCGCCGCUGUCAAAGCCAACGCAUCUCUCGUGGAGCUGGACGUGCGCUUCUGCGGCUUGACACCGGCGGAGGAGCAAGAGAUCAUGCGCGCGGUUCAGGAGCGCGUGUACCAGCAUCAGAUGGACACGUCGGUGACCUUGAGAGAGGCGGAGCGGCGGCGUGCGCUGCAGCGCCGCGCAAAGGAACGGGUUGCGCGCAUGACAGGACGAAGUGCCUAAGAUGGUGGUGCGGAGCACAGCGUAGGGAAGGAGCGAGAGCGGCGUGCCGAUACACACCAGGGUGCACCAUAGCAUUGCACGCUUGCAGCGGUGGAGGUGGGGGAGCAGCGUGCCGUGUGGUGACCCUUGUGCGCACACUCUCUCCUCUGCCCUCAGUCUCUCGGCUCGCCUUUUUAUGUAAAUUUCCUGUGUUUCCGUCUGUCUUGUUCUUUACCCUUCUCACCUGCGAUGUAUCCUCCCCUUCCCUCCUUCCCUACUUCGCCCUGUGACCUCUUCGCUUGUCUCAGUGUCUUCUCGGUAUCGUUCGGCUCGCUUCGCAGAGCUC